rnacentral:tRNA from 1 species
GGCGCAGUGGCGGAGUGGUCUAACGCGCAAGACUGUUAGUCUUUCCCCUUUGUGUAGUCCAACCACCAAUAUGCUAACAUCCACCAGAGAAAUCUUGUUCCUUCGGGAGCGUCUGUUCGAAUCAGGCCUGCGUCG